UCUCUCAUGAUUUGGAGGCACAGUCAAAAAUUAUAUUGCCCUCCUCCCAUCCUCACUAUAAAUUCAUGUAUAAGGUAAACCAUCAUCAAAUACCUUUGUUUCUAUCUCAGUUGCAAUAAUAUAUGGUUGUUCCAAAAUAAGAAGAUAAGACAUUAUAUCUUAAAUAAAGAAAUUUUAUUCCAUUGCAACAUCAUCAAUUCAAAUUCUCAUAUCUGGAUAAGCAUCAUAUAACUCAUCUCAUGUAUUAUUAGCUAUCCAUAUUGUCCAUCUAUACUCCAAAUCAAUUGGCU
rnacentral:lncRNA from 1 species